rnacentral:misc_RNA from 1 species
AGUUCGAUCAUGGCUCAGAUUGAACGCUGGCGGGAUGCUUUACACAUGCAAGUCAGGCGGCAGCACGGACUUCGGUCUGGUGGCGAGUGGCGAACGGGUGAGUAAUGUAUCGGAACGUGCCUAGUAGCGGGGGAUAACUACGCGAAAGCGUAGCUAAUACCGCAUACGCCCUUCGGGGAAAGCGGGGGACAACUUCGGGCCUCGCACUAUUAGAGCGGCCGAUAUCGGAUUAGCUAGUUGGUGGGGUAACGGCUCACCAAGGCGACGAUCCGUAGCUGGUUUGAGGACGACCAGCCACACUGGGACUGAGACACGGCCCAGACUCCUACGGGAGGCAGCAGUGGGGAAUUUUGGACAAUGGGGGAAACCUGAUCAGCCAUCCCGCGUGUGCGAUGAAGGCCUUCGGGUUGUAAGCACUUGCC